CCUACGGGUGGCAGCAGUGGGGGAUAUUGCACAAUGGGGGGAACCCUGAUGCAGCGACGCCGCGUGGGUGAAGGAGUAUUUCGGUAUGUAAAGCCCUAUCGGCAGGGAAGAAAUUUGACGGUACCUGACUAAGAAUCCCCGUCUAACUACGUGCCAGCAGCCGCGGUAAUACGUAGGGGGCAAGCGUUAUCCGGAUUCACUGGGUGUAAAGGGAGCGUAGACGGCCAUGCAAGCCAGGGGUGAAAGCCCGGGGCCCAACCCCGGGACUGCCCUUGGAACUGCAUGGCUGGAGUGCGGGAGGGGCAGGCGGAAUGCGUGGUGUAGCGGUGAAAUGCGUAGAUAUCAGGAGGAACACCGGCGGCGAAGGCGGCCUGCUGGACCGCGACUGACGUUGAGGCUCGAAAGCGUGGGGAGCGAACAGGAUUAGAUACCCCAGUAGUC
rnacentral:rRNA from 1 species